rnacentral:lncRNA from 1 species
CCCCCCAGACGCAGAGGGGUCGCACCCGCACGCGCAGAGCGACGGACGCCACGCAGACGCGCGGCCGGAAGGCCUACCAGUGAGCGGCUGCGGCCCGGGCCCGAGGCAGGGGAGCCACGCGGAAAGUCCGGGAGGAGCCGCAGCCGUGGGUCCGGAGAAUCGCAAGGCUCCCGUGGCGGCGGGAAGGGGGUGAGGUGGGGGCAGAUCGGGGCACCGGCCAGUGCCGUGGGAGCUCAGAGCCCGAGGGCGGGAGCGAGCACCAUCCGGGGAUUUGUCCUGGCUCCUCCUUGGCAGCCACAAAGAUGGAGCCUCGCGCCACCUGCUGAGACGAAGGCUGACAGAGUCCCUCCCCCCCCCCCCAACCGUGUCCGAACCGGGUGGACAUCCACCAACCGCCGGGCAAACGGAGCGGGUUGGGGGAGAGCCCGGCGUGUCCUCCCCGAGACGCGGGGCGCGGAGCCGCGAUGCCUGGUCACCUGCGUGGGGCGGAGGGGUGGCUCGGGGCCGUGCCCUUGGGCUGUGUCUUGGCCCGGGGUCCCCCCCACCCCCCGGACAGCUCCCCGCGGAGGGCACGCUCCAGGAAGCGACCGUGUGUGGGCAGGCCAGAGGGUGGCACCCGGUUCCGGGCCGGCGGGCGACCUGGGCGCGGGCAGCAGCUGGGGAGGCGCCCGGCCGCCCUCGGGACCCAGAGCCCCGCCCGGCCUCCCCCGUGGCCCCGGAGCUCCGCUGGGACGCCCAAACGGCCGGUCCCGACAGGCCUCCCUCCUCCAGCCGCCGUGGCUGGCGUGCCGACGCCUCGUUUGCCAAGUGACGGGCUCGGUGACAAACGAGCCCGGGACUCACGCACCGCCGGGAAGCCACGGAGCCUCUGAGGCUGCGUCCCGGCGAGAACCAGGUCUGUGCAGCCAAGCUCAGCGAGACCGAUCUGGCCGAGCCCCUCUUCUGGCUCCGGGAUCUCACCUCGGGGAGUGGAGGUCACGGGUGUCGUCCCAUACCUCUUCUGCCCUCCUACGUGUUCUUGGACGGGAGUCAUUUCCUUGUUAA